rnacentral:rRNA from 1 species
AUUGAACGCUGGCGGCAUGCCUUACACAUGCAAGUCGAACGGCAGCACGGGGGCAACCCUGGUGGCGAGUGGCGAACGGGUGAGUAACAUAUCGGAACAUACCCUAGAGUGGGGGAUAACGUAGCGAAAGUUACGCUAAUACCGCAUACGAUCUAAGGAUGAAAGUGGGGGAUCUUCGGACCUCAUGCUCAUGGAGUGGCCGAUAUCUGAUUAGCUAGUUGGUGAGGUAAAGGCUCACCAAGGCGACGAUCAGUAGCUGGUUUGAGAGAACGACCAGCCACACUGGAACUGAGACACGGUCCAGACUCCUACGGGAGGCAGCAGUGGGGAAUUUUUGGACAAUGGGGGCAACCCUGAUCCAGCCAUGCCGCGUGAGUGAAGAAGGCCUG